rnacentral:rRNA from 1 species
AGUGAACGCUGGCGGUAGGCCUAACACAUGCAAGUCGAACGGCAGCACAGGAGAGCUUGCUCUCUGGGUGGCGAGUGGCGGACGGGUGAGGAAUACAUCGGAAUCUACCUUUUCGUGGGGGAUAACGUAGGGAAACUUACGCUAAUACCGCAUACGACCUACGGGUGAAAGUGGGGGACCGCAAGGCCUCACGCGAUUAGAUGAGCCGAUGUCCGAUUAGCUAGUUGGCGGGGUAAUGGCCCACCAAGGCGACGAUCGGUAGCUGGUCUGGGAGGAUGAUCAGCCACACUGGAACUGAGACACGGUCCAGACUCCUACGGGAGGCAGCAGUGGGGAAUAUUGGACAAUGGGCGCAAGCCUUAUCCAGCCAUACCGCGUGGGUGAAGAAGGCCUUCGGGUUGUAAAGCCCUUUUGUUGGGAAAGAAAUCCUAUCGGUUAAUAACCGGUGGGGAUGACGGUACCCAAAGAAUAAGCACCGGCUAACUUCGUGCCAGCAGCCGCCGUAA